rnacentral:rRNA from 1 species
UAGGGAAUCUUCCGCAAUGGGCGAAAGCCUGACGGAGCAACGCCGCGUGCGUGAUGAAGGUCUUCGGAUCGUAAAACUCUGUUAUCAGGGAAGAACUAAUGUGUAAGUAACUAUGCACGUCUUGACGGUACCUAAUCAGAAAGCCCCGGCUAACUACGUGCCAGCAGCCGCGGUAAUACGUAGGUGGCAAGCGUUAUCCGGAAUUAUUGGGCGUAAAGCGCGCGUAGGCGGUUUUUUAAGUCUGAUGUGAAAGCCCACGGCUCAACCGUGGAGGGUCAUUGGAGACUGGAAAACUUGAGUGCAGAAGAGGAAAGUGGAAUUCCGUGUGUAGCGGUGAAAUGCGCAGAGAUAUGGAGGAACACCAGUGGCGAAGGCAACUUUCUGGUCUGUAACUGACGCUGAUGUGCGAAAGCGUGGGGAUCAAACAGG